rnacentral:rRNA from 1 species
AGUGAACGCUGGCGGUAGGCCUAACACAUGCAAGUCGAACGGCAGCACAGUAAGAGCUUGCUCUUGCUGGUGGCGAGUGGCGUACGGGUGAGGAAUACAUCGGAAUCUACUUUUUCGGGGGAGUUAACGUAGGGAAACUUACGCUAAUACCGCAUACGACCUACGGUUGCAAUCAGGGGAUCUUCGGAACUUGCGCGAUUGCAUGAGCCGAUGUCUGAUUAUCUAGUUGGCGGGGUAAAGGCCCACCAAGGCGACGAUCCGUAGCUGGUCUGAGAGGAUGAUCAGCCACACUGGAACUGAGACACGGCCCAGACCCCUACGGGAGGAAGAAGUGGGGAAUAUUGGACAAUGGGCGAAAGCCUGAUCCAGCCAGACCGCGUGGGUGAAGAAGGCCUUCGGGUUGUAAAGCCCUUUUGUUGGGAAAGAAAAGCAGCAGGUUAAUAACCCGCUGUUCUGACGGUACCCAAAGAAUAAGCACCGGCUAACUUCGUG